rnacentral:lncRNA from 1 species
GAAAAAAGGGGCAUGAGAGAUUCAAACUCAAGACCUGUAAGUAGAAAAACAUGCAUUUAACCAGUUCAGUUACAUACAUAAUUGAUAUAUACAUCAAACAAAUUUAAUUCAUAUCAUUUCCUUGAUCAUCAUCAACUUCAUAUACUCAUCUUCAUCUCUCCAAUCCACUCAGGAACCUCUCCUGAGAAAGCAUGACUGACGGAGGGGUAGACGGUGCACUGU